rnacentral:rRNA from 2 species
GGAGGAAAAGAACUAACAAGGAUUCCCCUAGUAACUGCGAGUGAAGCGGGAAAAGCUCAAAUUUAAAAUCUGGCGGCCUCUGGUCGUCCGAGUUGUAAUCUAGAGAAGUGAUGCCCGCGCUGGACCGUGUACAAGUCUCCUGGGAUGGAGCGUCAUAGAGGGUGAGAAUCCCGUCUCUGACACGGACUACCAGGGCUUUGUGGUAUGCUCUCAAAGAGUCGAGUUGUUUGGGAAUGCAGCUCAAAAUGGGUGGUAAAUUCCAUCUAAAGCUAAAUAUUGGCGAGAGACCGAUAGCGAACAAGUACCGUGAGGGAAAGAUGAAAAGAACUUUGGAAAGAGAGUUAAACAGUACGUGAAAUUGCUGAAAGGGAAACGCUUGAAGUCAGUCGCGUUGGCCGGGGAUCAGCCUCGCUCUUUUGUGUGGUGUAUUUUCUGGUUGACGGGUCAGCAUCAAUUUUGGUCGCUGGAAAAAGGCUUGAGGAAUGUGGCAGCUCCGGCUGUGUUAUAGCUUCAGGUCACAUACAGCGGCUGGGAUUGAGGAACUCAGCACGCCGCAAGGCCGGGUUUCGACCACGUUCGUGCUUAGGAUGCUGGCAUAAUGGCUUUA